UACGUAGGUGGCAAGCGUUGUUCGGAUUCAUUGGGCGUAAAGGGCGCGUAGGCUGCGGGGCAAGUCGGGUGUGAAAUCUCAGAGCUCAACUCUGAAACUGCACUCGAUACUGCUUUGCUUGAGGACUGGAGAGGAGAUUGGAAUUCACGGUGUAGCAGUGAAAUGCGUAGAUAUCGUGAGGAAGACCAGUGGCGAAGGCGGAUCUCUGGACAGUUCCUGACGCUGAGGCGCGAAGGCCAGGGGAGCAAACGGG
rnacentral:rRNA from 1 species